GGAGAGAUGGCUCAGUGGUUAACAGCAUCGACUGCUCUUCUGAAGGUCCUGAGUUCAAAUCCCAGCAACCACA
rnacentral:tRNA from 1 species